GGGGAGAGAUCUUGGUCUAGGUUCUGCCUUGUACUGAGAGUCUCGAACCUUUUUUCUGGGGAAGUAGGGUGCACUUAAUUGUGUGCUCUAGGGAACCAGGACGAUUACCUUGAGAAAAAUAGAGUGUUCAAAGCAGGCAUUUGCUUGAAUACGUUAGCAUGGAAUAAUAAAAUAGGACUUUGGUUCUAUUUUGUUGGUUUUAAGGACCAAUGUC
rnacentral:rRNA from 1 species